AUGGGCGGCUCGCACGCACCGUCGGCGCAGAUCCCGUUCCCGGACCACAUCGUCCACGAGGCCGGCACCGGGGGCUCCGCGGCUCGCCGCGCGGCCACCGCCGCCCGGGCCGUCCGCGCGGGGGCGCCCCGCGCCGCCGGCAGCUUCGCCGCCUUCUUCGCCGCCUUCUGCGUCCCCGAGUGCGGCAUGGCCUACGCGCGCGGCGGGAAGGAGGAAUCGUGGAACUUCGUCUUCGCCGGCGCCGCCACGAGCGGCUUCCUUCGCCUGCGCCAGGGAGCGGUCACCGCCGGCCGCGACGCGCUCUGGAGCGCCGCCUUCUUCGCGCUCGCGGAGGGCGCCUCCCUCGCGAUCCACCGCGCCCUAGACGACCUCCCGCCGGCGGACGGUCGUCGCGGCCUCGCCGCGCGCGCACCGGUGGGCCGUCCACGCCGCCUCCCCGCCUCCCCGGGAUUCCCGGGUCAGCUCAUCGUGGUUAAGGAGGUCGCUGUCGCCGACAACGAAGACGACUCCGGCUUUUCCGACGGCUUCUUCGCUGAAGAGCGUCACGCAAGCCAAGCACAGCUCAGCCUCCUCCGUGCUCCGAUCAUGGCGUCGCCGUCCCCGCCGCGACCGGACGAGCGCGACACGGACUUGCCGUUGCCGAGCCCUCCGCGGAAGCCGUACCCGGGCUUCAUACUCGACGACGCGGGCGGCGGCUUCCUGAUCGGCGGCGGGGUCGGCUCCGCCUACCACGCCGCCAGGGGCCUCCUCGGCUCGUCGAGCGGCCACCGCCUCGCCGGCGCGGCGCGCGCCGUCCGCGCCAACGCGCCCCGCAUCAGCGCCACGUGGGCCGCGCGCUGCGGCCUCUACGGCGCCUUCAAGUGCGCCCUGUCCCUGCCGCGCGCGACGGACGGCGACCCCGUGGUCUCCGUGCUCGCCGCGGGCGCCGCGGGGGCCGCGCACUGCCUGCGCCGGGGGCCCCUCGCCGUCGGCCGCGGCGCGCUCGUCGGCGCCGCGUCCAUGGCCGUCAUCGAGAGGGCCGACGCCGCGCUGGACAACUUGCGCUCCUGGGUCCACUACCACAGGCGGCUUGUCCCCGAGGAGGACAUCGAUGGCGGCGGCGGCAGCGACCCCAAACCCGACGACGAGCCGCCGAUUGGGUUCCUGGGGUGCAAGGUCGUCGUCGAGAUCGAUCGAUCCAUGGAGGAGGAGUGGGGGGUGCCCUACCCGGACUGUGUCUUGGACAACGCCGGCGCUGGCUUCGUGGGCGGCGCCGCCGCCGGCACGCUCGCCCACCUGUUCACGGGCCUCCGCGACUUCCCCUGCGGCCGCCACCUCGCCGGCGCCGCCCAGGCCGUCCGCGACGGCGCCCCCUGCCUCGCCACCCGCUGGGCCGCCCGCCUCGCCGUCUACAGCGCCGCCUGCCACGCCCUGUCGUCGGCGACCGACAGGCACGACGACCCGCUCGUCUCCGUCGCCGCCGGCGCCGCCACGGGGGCCGUCGCCCGCUUGCGCCACGGCCCGCUCGCCGUGGGCCGCGCCGCGCUCGUCGGCGCCGCCACGUUGGCCGCCGUGGAGCUCAUGAUCAGGGAUAGCGUGGAAGAGCACGACGAUGACAAGCCCCGUAGAAACCAGCGGCCUUUGCCGGCGAAGACCAAGGAGGAUGACGUCAUCCUGCGGAUAACGCCGGCGAUUGACCAUUUCCCGGUGCCUGACCCAUUUAUUGCUGCCUCUAGAGGUAGCCUCCUCCGGUUUCGGGGUUAAAUUUGUUAGU
rnacentral:lncRNA from 1 species